rnacentral:rRNA from 1 species
GAUGAACGCUGGCGGCGUGCCUAAUACAUGCAAGUCGAGCGAACAGAUGAGGAGCUUGCUCCUCUGACGUUAGCGGCGGACGGGUGAGUAACACGUGGAUAACCUACCUAUAAGACUGGGAUAACUUCGGGAAACCGGAGCUAAUACCGGAUAAUAUAUUGAACCGCAUGGUUCAAUAGUGAAAGACGGUUUUGCUGUCACUUAUAGAUGGAUCCGCGCCGCAUUAGCUAGUUGGUAAGGUAACGGCUUACCAAGGCAACGAUGCGUAGCCGACCUGAGAGGGUGAUCGGCCACACUGGAACUGAGACACGGUCCAGACUCCUACGGGAGGCCGCAGUAGGGAAUCUUCCGCAAUGGGCGAAAGCCUUACGGAGCGACGCCGCGUGAGUGAUGAAGGUCUUCGGAUCGUAAAACUCUGUUUUUAGUGAAGAACAAAUGUGUAAGUAACUAUGCACGUCUUGACGGUACCUAAUCAGAAAGCCACGGCUAACUACGUG